CCUACGGGAGGCAGCAGUGAGGAAUAUUGGUCAAUGGACGCAAGUCUGAACCAGCCAUGCCGCGUGGAGGAUGACGGCCCUCUGGGUUGUAAACUCCUUUUAUCUGGGACGAAAAACGGACUUUUCAGUUCACUUGACGGUACCAGAGGAAUAAGCACCGGCUAACUCCGUGCCAGCAGCCGCGGUAAU
rnacentral:rRNA from 1 species